rnacentral:rRNA from 1 species
CCUACGGGCGGCAGCAGUCGAGAAUCAUUCACAAUGGGGGAAACCCUGAUGGUGCGACGCCGCGUGGGGGAAUGAAGGUCUUCGGAUUGUAAACCCCUGUCAUGUGGGAGAAAAUGAAAAAGAUAGUACCACACGAGGAAGAGAAGGCUAACUCUGUGCCAGCAGCCGCGGUAAUACAGAGGUCUCAAGCGUUGUUCGGAAUCACUGGGCGUAAAGCGUGCGUAGGCUGUUUCGUAAGUAGUGUGUGAAAGGCGCGGGCUCAACCCGCGGACGGCACAUGAUACUGCGAGACUAGAGUAAUGGAGGGGGAACCGGAAUUCGCGGUGUAGCAGUGAAAUGCGUAGAUAUCGAGAGGAACACUCGUGGCGAAGGCGGGUUCCUGGACAUUAACUGACGCUGAGGCACGAAGGCCAGGGGAGCGAAAGGGAUUAGAUACCCCUGUAGUC